UCCAGGAAUCGAGGGUGGAAGCAGAAGUGGCACCACUCGCCAUCACCCCUAGUGUUCCAAUAGCAAAAUUUUUGUUUCCUGUUCCUGUGACAUUACAUUCUGCUGGCCUAGCUAGAAGUCUUUGUUCCAGAGAGAGGAAAGCUGCCACCAGGAGACACAACAACCAUUCCAUUAAACUGGAAGUUAAGAUUGCCACCUGGACACUUUGGGCUUCUACAUUUAAGUCAAUAGGCUAAGAAGAGAGUUAUGGGGUUGGCUGGGGUGAUUGACCCGGACGAUCAAAUUGAAAUCGGUCUACUACUCCACAAUGGAGCCACAAGAAACCCUGAGUUAAAGUAGAAGGAAGAACUACAUCAUUGAAUUAUGUCUAUAUUUCAGGAAGUAUGUGACUGUUCACUGGUGGCCAGCUUUUACUGUGAGUCUAAAAGAAAAGAGGAAUAUGUUAUAGUAUACUUUAAGAAGGAGGCAUGUGAAAAAAAUUAUGUCUGUCUUUUUCAGCACAGAAAUUACCUUGACC